CUUUUGCGUGCCUUCCACCGCCGCGAGCUCGGAAUGUCUGGCCCCGGGUGCUUCAGGGUCCGAGAACCUGCAGAAGUUCACACUUAAAUCCUACACGAGAGUCGUAUUUAUGAUGCAGAACUCGGUGCAGAACCCGAUGGAGUGCCCAAGGCGCUUGAGCCGUUCCUAGAAGGGGAAGGAGAGCCGCGGGCGGCAGCGGGGCAGGGGACGGAAUUGGGAAGCUUGGGAGCAGGAAGAAGGCCAGAGCUACUUAGGGUACAUUCCACUUUUGCUUGGCGCCGGAUGGAGAAACGGAGGCCCAGGGAAGGGAUGUGCCCGAGGUCAUACAAAGAAGUUUGUGGGAAUCCAGGCCAUGCGCGGUGGCUCACGCUUGUAAUCCCAGCACUUUGGGAGGCCGAGGCGGGCAGAUCACGAAGUCAGAAGAUCGAGACCAUCCUGGCUAACACGGGACUCAAGACUGGAAUGGGAAGAGCAUGAAAUUGAGCUGUCUAUCCCCCUGGAUCUCUCAUUGCCACCUGCCCAUAGGUUGGCUGCACCCCUCCACCAAAGAAAGGCCAUGACUCCUUCCUGGCAGCCCUGUCUUACAGCUACUCUCUGGUGAUCUGGGAACCACUCCCUCCCUUACCCCUUGAUGCCUAGGGCUAGUGCCAGCACCUUGUUGUUGUUAGCCUCAGAGGCACUUGCACUGUUCCUUGAUGGUUUUCCCAAAUCUUGCCCUCAUCUUUGUAAAUACUGUUUGCCGUUUAUUACACUGUCAUCAUAUUACCCAA